GACACAGUAGAACUGCCCCAUAGGGUUUCCAAGGAGUGGCUGGUGAAUUCCAACUGCUGAUCUUUUGGUUAGCAGCCAGAGCUCUUAACCAUUAUGCCACCAGGGUUUCCAAAAGUGGACCCAAAUCUCAUAUCUGGUGCUUGCGUUCUUAGAGUCACCAUUUAAGGAUUGGCUGGUGCCUGUCCUGAAAGUAUAGAGUUCUCUACUGCUUGUAACACAUGACACUGAGUGUGUGUGUGUGUUUUUGCACCACACCCACAGGCUUGUCUGCACGGGCAUGUCUUACAGCGGAACUGUUUACGCCUCCAGGGAGGAAGUGAUUAAAGAACACAGUGUGAAGCAGAUUUUCUUUAUUUCAAGAAUCAUGUAUCUGCAUAUCUCAAUUUUUAGGUUAAUGUCUUUGGAGAAAUGUGAAGAAAAUCUUGCAUACAAAUACGACUGAUCCAUGAGAAAGAUGAGGUGUCUGCCCAGGAGGAGAACAUAGUCCUACUUCCACCAAGGGACCUGGUCACAUUAGGACAGGAAGCCCUCAUCCUCAGGCUUUCAGUGAUGAAUGGGAGGCGUACCCUGCGCUCAAGCACCACCCAAACCAGAGGAGACAAAUGGGUGUGUAGCUCACCAUCACCCAUAGCAACAUGAUAUGAUACAUACCAUGGGGGAAAAAACAAACAAAGUGCUGAUGGAAAAUUAAUCUUAUUUGGGAGAUUUGUUAAGGCUUCCUGCAAAUGGUGGCAUUUAAAAUGAGCCUGAAAAAAGAGUAGGAUUUUGAUAGAUGGAAAAGAUUGUCAUAAGAUAUUAUGGUAUCAGCAUUUAAUAAUAGCUAAAUGCAUCUGUGCUGCACACUUGCAUCUUUUGCAAAGCCUGGUGUCAGCACUCUCUUCUACUAGCAGGAGGUUCCAACUAUCCUCUGGAGAACCACCCUUUUCCUGCUCUCAGCCUAAGUGGUUUGAGUGGGGCUGACCCUGCCUCCUGGCUCUGGACUUAGGCAUGUGACCCAGACUAGCCAAUAAGAGAUAUGCAUUCCCUUAGCACAGUAAUUGGUUCAGGGGUGGGCAUGUGACCCAAACUUACCCAGUCCUGGAGGGUUUCCUGAAACUACUGGGGAAAAAAGCCAGUUGCUGCGGAGUUGAUUCCAACUCAUGGCAAUCCCAACCUCAUGUGUGUCAGAGUAAAACUGUGCUCCACUGGGUUUUCAACAGUUGAUUUUUUGGAAGUAGAUUGCCAGGUCAUUCUGGGUAGACCUGAACCUCUAACCUUUUGGUUAGCAGUGAGCGCUUUACUGUUUGUAACACCCAAGGACUCCAAUUGAGGAAAAAUAUUCACUUUCUGCUGGGGUUACUAAACUGGUUGGUUGUCAUUCAGAAGCUGCGGAGCACCUGAGAAAUGAAGAGAGAGAUUCCAAAAUUCUUGAGCAUCUGGAUCCAGUUGUGCUUAAAACUGUUGUUGGAUUUUUUAGUUAUUCAAGUCAAUAAACUCACUUUUUAAAUAAAUCUUUUUUUUUUUUUUUCCUGUUUGUGCUUUUCCCUUGCAAACAAAAAAAGUCCUAACCAAUACAGGAAUCUUAACUAAUCUUCUGCUUAAAUAAACAAACAAACAAAACAGAUUCACAGAGCAGGUUCCUAGCACAAAAGAAGUCUUCCUGCUGCUAACACCUUCCAGGUCAGCUUGCUGGACCCUGGUGAUUAAGACAUUUGGCCUUUCUUCUGAAACUCCCUGGUUGAGGCCUCUCGAGAAUCUAGCUGACUCCUUUGUGCCAGAUAUUUUUCCGUGAAUCAGAAAUGAAGUAUGCAGCGUUGCAGCCACAAAGUAAUGAAAGAGCUCAUUUGCCUUUUGUGUCUCUCCAAAUUUUGUUUUUUCUGGGUCACACGUUACAAGUUAAAAGUCAUAAUGAUAAUCCAGUUUGGGUUUAUUAACAGUUGAAUAGACUAUUGAAAAAAGACUCAUUAAUCAUCAGAAGCAAAUUCACUGCAGAAGAAUUCCAGACAGAGAGUGGGACAACUGCCUUGAGUCAACUAACUUACUUUUUCUUCAGGGAAAAUGGUUGAGUGUUUGAAUUAAGUGCCACAUCUGGAAAUGUGGAAUGAUAAUUGCUUUUACUGAGUGCUUACUAUGUCCUUGGUACUAAGUACAGUAUUUUGACUACAGUCUCUCUUUAUUCCAACAAC